rfam:Lactobacillus salivarius TCC118, complete genome.
AGCGUCGAACAGAGGUCGCAGUUUUUAUCAGUAAAUAUUUGGAGCUGAAAAAGCAGCAAUGAAAAUUAUUGAAAGGAAAAACUGCCGAAGUAAGAUAUUGCUUUUUCAAUAUUUUGCUGGGGCCUGGCUCAACAAGUCAGGAACUGUCGUAGUUUAAUAGUUGACUACGGAGCGCUAUCGAAUGC